AUGCGGGAGGGGGGAAUCCCAGAUGAGCAGGGGGGAGGUGGGGGCCGAGGGGGGGGCGGGGGCGGAGGGCGGGGGGGCGGAGGGGGUAGUGAGCAUGUGUGCGGUGCGUCUAGCCUCCUUCCAGCUUUCGCUCUUUCCCUUCCCUUCUCAGGGACCCCGCCCCCAAGCACACCCACGCCCUGCGGUCCACCCCCACGGCCCGGCCCUCCCCGCGCCUUCCCCUGGGCGGAUGCCACCUGCCGGCAGGUGACCGCGUCGCCCGCCCGUCCCGCCCGAUGUCGCUCCGCUCCCUGGCGGCCGACCCUCCGAGCGGACUCCCCGCCGCCGCCCCGCCAGAUGAGCGGGGACCCCGGCCGCGGACUGCAGGGCGCGCUGGGCCCCGGCCCCGGCCCGACCGCGGCGCCCCCGCGGCUCCCGCCGCUCCCGCCCGGCCCGUCCGCCCGCGCGCUCACCUUCUCAGCCACAUGGUGGGAGCGGAGAACUCGGAGCGCGGGAGACCUCAGGCCGCGGCAGCCCUCGGGCCGGGCAGACCUCCAGGCGCGGGAGCCCAGCGCCCGCCGCGUGCCCGCCGAGACUGAGCGCUCGGCCGGACCCGGCGCAAGAGCUGGCCCCGGCCCCGCCCCGGCCGCCGCGCCCCGCCCCCGGCCCAGUUCCUCCCGGGCCCCGGCCGCGGGCGGGUGCGGCGCGGCGGAAGCUCGGCCGCUGGGAGCCUGCGAGGCCCACGGGGCCAGUCGGGGGCCUGAGCGCCGGAGGUGCCCCGGGACGUUGCGAGGGCGAUGGUACCGGGGAGGAGGGCGGCCUGGAGUGCUGCGGCUGGGCUGGCGCAGCUGCAGGGGCCGUGAGGGGCCAAGUGAUGCCCCCAAGGUGGCGCAGGGCGUCCGCGCCCCGCAGCGCCCUGGCUCCCCCCGCCCCCUGCGCCCCGCCAAUGCGGCCGCGCGCCCCUGCCCCGGGCGGGCGGGGCUGUGUCGGGACCUCCAGGUCUUCUGUAAAGCGAGCGCUGCAGGACUGCUGAGGAACGAAUGA
rnacentral:lncRNA from 1 species